rnacentral:rRNA from 1 species
AUGGCCGUGGAUUGCUUCUUCCGCGCCUACGGGCUGGCCGUCGUCAACACCGUCUACGUCGGCGGCACGGCCAUGAUCCUCUACGGGCUCGUCAUCCUGGAGCGGAAGCCCCAGCGCAACAGGGGCUCCAUCAUCGUGCUCACGCUCUUCCUCCUCCUCUGGGUCUGCCUCGGCGCCACCGUGUACACGGCCUUCUGCGGCGUCCUCUUCCCAUGGUCGGCGCUGCGCCGGUGCCUGGCCUCCACCCACAGGGCGCUCCUGCGGCACCUCCGUUCCGCGGGCCGGCUUCUCUGCCUGCCGUGCCGGUGCGCGCGCACCAGGCUACGGCGCCGAAGCGGUAGCGGUAGAACCGCUCUGCCGCAGUUUCUGGACCGGAUACAGGGCCACAUGCCCGUGCUGGCCCGGGAGCCGCCGGUGCAUGGCGGCGCGCGGGCGGCCACGGCGUAUGACAUCCUGGCGUACGAGCAGCCGGAGGGCGGCGGCGGCGCGUCGGACUGCGCUGUCUGCCUCGGGGAGGUGGAGAAGGGGGAUGCCGUGAAGCGGCUGCCGGCGUGCCUGCACUUGUUCCACCAGCAGUGCAUCAACGCGUGGCUGCACGAGCAUUCGACGUGCCCAGUCUGCCGGUGCAUCGUCUUCGCGCCAUUGCCGGCCCAAAUGGUAUGA